rnacentral:rRNA from 1 species
CGGGUGAGUAACGCGUGGGUAACCUGCCUUAUACUGGGGGAGUAACAGCCAGAAAUGACUGCUAAUACCGCAUAAGCGCACAGAACCGCAUGGUCCGGUGUGAAAAACUCCGGUGGUAUAAGAUGGACCCGCGUUGGAUUAGCUAGUUGGCAGGGCAGCGGCCUACCAAGGCAACGAUCCAUAGCCGGCCUGAGAGGGUGAACGGCCACAUUGGGACUGAGACACGGCCCAGACUCCUACGGGAGGCAGCAUG